UAGGCAUCUGACAUUGCCAAUAAUUGUACGCUGAACAAACCAAUAGCUUUGAUCGGGACCGACCUUCAAGAAAGAUUAAUUAUGACUCAGAUGAUGACGGAGCUCACCUCCCAACACCAUUGUUGAGAGAUAAGCUUGGGGGUCAUUCCGGUGAAGCAAUCCAAUGGGGAUGAAAUUGUUUGCUCUACUACUCAAGGUGAAUGCAAAUGGAUGAAAUGGUACCUUCGCACACAAAAAGUUCAAAGAUGAAGCUUAAUUCCAUGAUACUAUAUAAUCCUCAUCACUUGAUGAAUUAUGUAUUUUGUGAACGUUGUGUAGUUGCUAAUUCAAUUUGAUAUAUUUAUUUUAUUAUUGGCUAAUUUAUAUAUAGUUUUUAAUGUAGAUUUCAAUAGAGAAAGCCAUUGUACUAAAUACAUAAAUUAUGUAUUAUUUCAUGUCAUAGUUUUAAUGUUGUUUCUUAUAAUAUUAAAACUAUAUAUAUAACUUUUGAGUCCUUGAUGAAAAUCAAGGGAUUUGGGAGAGGCAAAUGUUGCUACUUUUACCAGAAAGUUCCAUAGAGGAAGAAGAAUGGUGGUCAAGGAAAUAAAGCUAACCCUGCUGCUGCUAAAACAAGCAAGAAAACCAAGGCUGCAAAGGGAAUAUGUUUCCAUUGUAACCGGGAGGGACAUUGGAAGAGAAACUGUACUAAGUACUUGGCAGAAAAGAAAAAGGCCAAACAAGGCAAUUAGUUCCUGGCGACAGUUGGAGACUGGAGAGAUGACGAUGUGGAUUGGAACUGGCAUGUCAUCUUAGCAAUUGCAGUGGGAGGACUUCGACUUUGUUUACAGAAAUCUUUUCUUUUGUUAGAAAAUGUAUAUGUUGUUUCUGAUUUAAAAAGGAACUUGAUUUAUGUAAAGUUGCUUACUAAAACAAUCUUACUCGUUAACUUUUAAUGUAAAUAAAGUGUUUAUUUGCAAA